AGGGAAUCUUCCACAAUGGACGCAAGUCUGAUGGAGCAACGCCGCGUGAGUGAAGAAGGCUUUCGGGUCGUAAAACUCUGUUAUUGAAGAAGAACGUGUGUGACAGUAACUGGUCAUGCAGUGACGGUAUUCAAUCAGAAAGUCACGGCUAACUACGUGCCAGCAGUCGCGGUAAUACGUAGGUGGCAAGCGUUGUCCGGAUUUAUUGGGCGUAAAGCGAGUGCAGGCGGUCUUUUAAGUCUGAUGUGAAAGCCUUCGGCUUAACCGAAGAAGGGCAUCGGAAACUGGGAGACUUGAGUGCAGAAGAGGAGAGUGGAACUCCAUGUGUAGCGGUGGAAUGCGUAGAUAUCGGGAGGAACACCAGUGGCGAAGGCGGCCUACUGGGCACCAACUGACGCUGAGGCUCGAAAGUGUGGGUAGCAAACG
rnacentral:rRNA from 1 species